AGUGAUCAGAAAACCAUGGCAGAAGGAAGAAGAUCAGCUGAAUAAUCUUCUAACAGUCUAAUAAGGAUCCCUACACAGAAUUUCCACAUGAUGCCUGGCUGUAACACAGUCAUGGUUUCUGCCCCCGAGAACCGUGAGCGAGCCUGGAGGGCAAGGAGAACGCCUUGCUGUUCGUUUUUGUGGCCACCGGGUGUCAUUCUAGGAGCAGACUUUGGCCAGCCUGGGAGCACUACUGUGGCAGCAGCACUGGAGGCCCCACACAUGGUUUCUGCAGCUGCCAGCCCACUCUGUCCUGACAAAUCCAGAGCUGUUGAACUUUAUAGAUUCAACUGCAUCAAAGGAGUUCUCGCUGUGCCAAGUUGUGUCAGCAUUUUGUGACCCCACUGAAGAGUCUGUGGGGAGAGUCAAGAAACUCCACAAAAUAAAUUCUGCUCCCCAUCCUGCUAAGGUACAUAGAGUGGCUUGCCAGUGGAUGACCCCUUCAUCCAAACUUAGAGUAACUCUUGGGUCUCAAAAGCCUUUGCUUCUACUUUCCAGCCUUGCACCAGAAUGGCUGCUCUCUAUUCUAAAGUAAAUUAUACAGAGGAAGAGUUAGAGAUUAUGUUUUUCUAUUGUUCCUUAUGUGAAACCAAUUCUGUGGCCUACAUCUACUAUGCACAAUAGUAAGUCUCCAGUGCAAUACUGCUCUACACUAGACUGGGUCCUCAGGCAUACUGAGUACUGCUGGUGAAGUGCAACAGAGUAGAGGAGAUAAUACCAAUUUCUAUGAGAAGAUAGCAGGACUGCCAACUAUCACUGCUGGAUAUGCACUAACAUCUUGGGCAAGUUGUCUGUCUAUUUUUCAAAGCUGAACAGUCAACAGCCACAACUGACAGGCUUUGGUUGCUGUAACUUGCUGCCUUUCAGCUGGGACCAAUGUCUCCAGUCAACCAGCUUGGAUUAAAAAUUACCAGUGGAAAUGAUGAAGCUCCAUUCCUGCAAGUAACAAGGAAGUACCAUAUGAAGAGGACGGGUGAAGAAACAAGAUCCUCUGCUCGGUUGGUAGGUGUUCUUAAAUACGUUCCGAUCAGCAGCAUGAACCACAAAUAGUGCUCAGCAACUGGCAAGUGACAGAUGCCUGAAUACCACAUUUUUCAUCUCCUUUCAAUAUCCUUGACUCAUGCAUCCUGUCUGAGCUAAUGUUAGUUUCCUGAUUGCAGUGUGUCUGCACCCGUGUACUCUCAACAAGCGCUUGAGCCAUCCCAGGAAGCUCACUCUUCCUCUCUAGACUUCCACUGUACUUUUAGUGACCAUCUCUCAAAGCCACCUUGUUAUGCCAAGUCAGAUCUGGAAAUUCUGGAUUUAUGCUGGUAUAGCAGUCUACUGUUUUUCUUCUAAUUUUAAAAUAAUUCUAGGCCAUCACAUAAAAAUAACAUUCAAUUCUGACUUUCUUUGACCUCUAAGAAGAAAAUAAGUUAACACCACCACCAGUUAGACUACCAUUAUUACAUUAUUGCAUUCUCUUGCUUGAACAAAAUGCCCCCAAAACAGAUCUGAAACAGAAUAGACACAUUCCUUCUUUGUAAGGCACUCACAUCUUUAUUUCCAUGUUACCCUGAAAUUCUCCUCUCCAAAUUACUGUCAUGUUCUAUAUACUGUAGCAGUGAUUUUACAUUGCUUAAGACCAUUUAUAUUUCUACAAGUAUAAAAAUGAAGUGCAAUAAGGCUUAGUCUGAGGUGACUGAGCUGAGCUUUGAAAGUAAAAGGAUGUCUGUAUAACAUCCAGGAAGGAAAAAUGAAGGAAAAAAACCAACCCAAUCCUCAAACAAACAAAAGAAAACCACCAAAGAGGCAAACGGUAGAUUUAUUUUUAGCUGUGAUUCGGGUAUAUCAGCAAGAAACAGAAAGAAAAUAACAGAGUUGCAAGGUAGAAAAUUUUCAUGAACAAGUACCCUAGCUGUGAUUAAAGUACAGCGCUGUAGUUCUGUUGCAAACUCAUUAAUAUCAUUAACUAAGGAUGCAAAACAGUUGUCUUUUUCCUCUUUUUAAGCCACACAGUUAAUACAAAACUCUGAGGUCAUUCCCUUUAUUUUCACAUGCCACAGCAACAGGCCAAGUAAAAAUACAUGACAGAGUUGGAGAAAUGCUUUAUUAAACUGCUAAUUUCAAACUUUAGUUGUGCUCACUUCCAUGCUCAGUUAUUUACCAUAGAAUCCUUUUUCCUUUCUAUUGAAAUGACUAUUUCCUUACCAUCAGAAAUAUUUCCCUCCAGAUCUUGUGACAGGGCAAUAUUCUUAUCUCUAUUUUGCAGAAGAAAGAACCAAGAUACAAGGUCCAUACAGGAAGUCUGUGGCCCAGCCCAAGACUCUAGGUCUCCCAAGAUUUGAUCCAACACUUUGACUCAAAAGUCAAGCACUUUCUCUUCUGCAGUCUUUUGAUCUUUUCUUUCCAUCAUGAAUCACUAAGCUGUAAGGAAUCUUUGUCUAGAGAGCAGGCUUUAAGAACAAAUACACACUUAAGAUUAUUUGCAAAAACUAAUCAAACAAGGUUUUUAAGCAGGACUUGAGUCUUACCCAAUUCUAAAUAGGUAUUCAAAGUGUGCAAGCUUAUAUGGAACUAUAGGCACUUAAUGUUGUAAACAUGUUCAAAAGUUUUAACAAAUAUGAACUUGGGGCCAAUGAACUGUGCAAACAAAAGAAACAUACCACAUAACCAUCUUUAGUUUUCAAAAGAUCAAGGCAUGUGCAUUUAUUUGGGCAAAGAGGCAAUGUAUAUGGCCAGAAUUCUACAGGGUUCCAAUUAAAAUUUAUUUACUUAAAUAAUGGACUAUUCAUUUAAGCAAUAAUUACUUCUGUAAUUCAGUGGGUGGAGGACAGUGUCUCAGCUUAAACCAUGACAGCAAGGGAAGAAAUAGUAAUGAUACCAGCAGCUGCAUACUCUUAACACUAUGAGUAGGAAGUUUACUUAGCUUGGGGCAACAGACACAGGUUUGGUUGAUAGGUUUUUUUAAAUCAAGAAUAAUGCUAUUAUCCCAAAGUGCUGUCCACCCAAAACAAAUAAAUUCGAAAGAUGAGGAACCUGGAGAGUAAAUGAAGGCAGGAAGUAGCAAAGCAGGAAAAGGAUUCAGAUAUCAAAGAUCUAGUUUAGUAAAGUAUAAAUCAUACCUUACUACAUCAUAAACUUCUGUCCUCCUGUUUGGGAAAGUUAUCCUAUUUUCCUUCUCCAUGGGCUAUUUCUGCUGAUUACUCUACCUACCAAUGGACUGUGAAGGCAUUAGCCACUCGUAUCACCAGGCAGAGUGGUCAUAGACAGAGUCCUGUUGCAGAGUUUUGGUUGAACAAUACUUUCUCUUCUACACCAAAGAAAUCCAGUACCAAUGCUACUGUUGAGACAUUCAAAACCAGUACUAGCCAUCUUCUAGUGAUGCUGUGAUGACCAUAAUAUGUAGCUCUUUCUCAAUUCUGUUUUAAGUGCUGGGCACUCUGCUCCAUUUGUGAAACAAUAAAAUCAACUUUCAAAUAAUA